GACGAACGCUGGCGGCGUGCUUAACACAUGCAAGUCGAACGGAAAGGCCCUGCUUUUGUGGGGUGCUCGAGUGGCGAACGGGUGAGUAACACGUGAGUAACCUGCCCUUGACUUUGGGAUAACUUCUGGAAACUGGGGCUAAUAUCGGAUAGGAGCUCCUGCUGCAUGGUGGGGGUUGGAAAGUUUCGGCGGUUGGGGAUGGACUCGCGGCUUAUCAGCUUGUUGGUGGGGUAGUGGCUUACCAAGGCUUUGACGGGUAGCCGGCCUGGGAGGGGUGACGGCCACAUUGGGACUGAGGUACGGCGCAGACUCCUACGGGAGGCAGUAGUGGGGAAUAUUGCGGAGUGGGCGGGAGCCUGAUGCGGCAGCGCCGCGUGCGGGAUGACGGCCUUCGGGUUGUAAACCGCUUUCGCCUGUGACGAAGCGUGAGUGACGGUAAUGGGUAAAGAAGCACCGGCUAACUACGUG
rnacentral:rRNA from 1 species